rnacentral:lncRNA from 1 species
AGCACUUUCUUGUUGUGAGAUUCUUACAUAACCAGAUUAGGGUUUUCAGUUUUUGUACUUAUCUCAACUUUAUUUCUACUUUGUUCACUUUCUCUUCUAUUUAUGGGUCUCAGAUAAUGUCAUGACCUCAACACUUCUUUUGUAUUAUGACAAUGGAAAUUAAACACACUCAGAAAAUGGCAAAACUCUCAAUCUAAUAGGAAAUACCCAUCCAAAUGAGGCUCAAUGUUGAAAUAACAACCUAUCUGAGUCUCAAUCUAUGUCUCUUUUAAAAUUCUAAUAAGUAUACUUAGAGGUUUGAUCUUGGACAUUUUUACUUCUUAAACUGCACUGAAAUACAUGUUUCCUCACCUCUCUGCAUUUCUCUUUUAAGUGGCUAAUACACUAGGUUUGAUUUCUUCCACCUUUCUUUACAAGAGCCACAGCUUAUAAUCUGUAGAUAACGGUGGCAUAAAACUCGAAAACCCAGGGUUAAGUCAUCCAGUUGUCUUUGUUCUGUCACUAAAAAUGUCUUUACUGCAUAUAUGUGACAGACAAUAGGCUUGGCAAUUUAGAUUAACAGAUAAGUAAUACAGGAUGAUGACUACCCUCCAUGGAUUCAAAGAAUGGCAUUUAAGACAUGAUUGUGAUUAAUUAAACACUAGCAUGCUCAGUGCAGCCAAGAGGAAGAACUGAAAGCUAAUGAAGAGGGAAAUUGGGAGGCAGUAGAAACUGCCACUUUGUGACAACAUCUGUGGCUCCUGGGAGCUUAAACAACAUCAGAUUUUCCUUUCCUCUUCUGCAAAAUUGAGACAAUUUUAAUAGUUGUCACAUAGGAAACUGCAAAGAUGAAAUAAAAUAAAGUUUGCAAAUUACUGGCUGAGAAUCUGAACAUGGUAAAUGAUAGUUACCUUUAAUUUCAAUGUAAUAAAUAACAUAAUCCUGUAUAGUCCACAUUUAACCAAAUCCAGACAAGAGAAGCUUUGAUUGCAGCUCCCCUGACAUUCCUGAGGUCUAACACGUUGAUGUCCCUCAAAUUGAAACUCUAGGAAAGGGGACUGUCUGUAAAACUGUGAAGGAGCAGAGCCCAGGUUCCCAUUGUCAGAGUAGUGCCUUGCACAGAGGAAAAAUUGUACAGCCCCCAUGAAGCUUGUUCCAGGGAACCAGUGUCUCAGCAAGUUGCGAUAGAAAAUGGCUGCUCUGUGAAUAGUAUAAAUAAAUAAAAUAAUCCCUUUACUCAGAUUCAGUUAGUUUCAAAUCACCAUUGAUGAUUAUUUUUAGGCCCAAGUAAAACAUAUUUUGUAAACCAUUUUCCUAGCCUUUACAACUCUCUAACUCAACCC